GGCCCAGACUCCUACGGGAGGCAGCAGUGAGGAAUAUUGGUCAAUGGUCGGGAGACUGAACCAGCCAAGCCGCGUGAGGGAGGAAGGUACAGAGUAUCGUAAACCUCUUUUGUCAGGGAACAAAGGCGGGGACGUGUCCCCGGAUGAGUGUACCUGAAGAAAAAGCAUCGGCUAACUCUGUGCCAGCAGCCGCGGUAAUACGGAGGAUGCGAGCGUUAUCCGGAUUUAUUGGGUUUAAAGGGUGCGCAGGCGGAGGUGCAAGUCAGCGGUCAAAUUGCGGGGCUCAACCCCGUACUGCCGUUGAAACUGAUGUUCUUGUGUGGGCGAGAAGUAUGCGGAAUGCGUGGUGUAGCGGUGAAAUGCAUAGAUAUCACGCAGAACUCCGAUUGCGAAGGCAGCAUACCGGCGCCCAACUGACGCUGAAGCACGAAAGCGUGGGUAUCGAACAGGAUUAGAUACCCUGGUACA
rnacentral:rRNA from 1 species